UACGUAGGGAGCAAGCGUUGUCCGGAUUUAUUGGGCGUAAAGAGCUCGUAGGCGGCCAACUAAGUCGGGUGUGAAAGCCCCCGGCUCAACCGGGGAAUGGCUCCCGAUACUGGUUGGCUCGAGGACGGUAGGGGUGAGUGGAACUCCAGGUGGAGCGGUGAAAUGCGUAGAUAUCUGGAGGAACACCGGUGGCGAAAGCGGCUCACUGGACCGUCUCUGACGCUGAGGUGCGAAAGCCAGGGUAGCGAACGGG
rnacentral:rRNA from 1 species